rnacentral:lncRNA from 13 species
GAGUGGCCUGAUGGGAGCCUCUGUCUCGGCAUGGCCUCCUCCCCGAGCCUCAACCCUCUCUCUCCUUUUUCUUAGAAGGACACUGGUUCUAGGAUUUCAGGUGCACUCUAUCCGGGACUAUCCCAUCCCCAGAUCCUUAACUUGAUUUUAGCUGCAAAAAACCCUAUUUCAAAUAAGCUCACCUUUACGGGUCCUGGGGGGCUAGGACAUCAACAUGUCUUUUUGAGGGGGACUCAUUCAACCCACAACACCAGGGCUAUCAGAAUUCCAGCUGCGAGAGAGACGGGCACAUGGGCAGGCAGGUUGUAAAGGGAGAACAUGGAGUGUUGAGGCCGUUUUUUUAAAGCCACAGGCACAUUUCCGAGCCUGUUGUCACUUGUUCCCGGUACUUUCUACUGUGGUUGGCACGCGGUGAGGGAGCAGUGCACAGCCGCCAUGCAUGCAGCCGCUCCUGUCUCCUGGGCCUGGGCACCCUGGGGUUGCACCAGGAAGAGGUCCCCAUGCCAUGGAGGCACAGCUCAAUAUUUCAGGUUCAUCCUGUGCCUACGUUUCAGAAAAAAAAAUCUUCUAGCAAGAAUGCAAUAAACAAGACCGAGAGCCUCAUUAGGAGCCGUGAGCACCACAUCACCCACCGGACAGACACACGGCGGCUCCUGUGAUGACUGCUCCUCCUCCGAGCCCCACACUCGGCUGUUGAUGGAGAUGGCUGCUGAGGCUCCACCGUCAGGGGAGAGAGCAGCCCACAGGAGAGGCAGG